rnacentral:rRNA from 1 species
GACGAACGCUGGCGGCGUGCCUAAUACAUGCAAGUUGAGCGCUGAAGGUUGGUACUUGUACCAACUGGAUGAGCAGCGAACGGGUGAGUAACGCGUGGGGAAUCUGCCUUUGAGCGGGGGACAACAUUUGGAAACGAAUGCUAAUACCGCAUAAAAACUUUAAACACAAGUUUUAAGUUUGAAAGAUGCAAUUGCAUCACUCAAAGAUGAUCCCGCGUUGUAUUAGCUAGUUGGUGAGGUAAAGGCUCACCAAGGCGAUGAUACAUAGCCGACCUGAGAGGGUGAGCGGCCACAUUGGGACUGAGACACGGCCCAAACGCCUACGGGAGGCAGCAGUAGGGAAUCUUCGGCAAUGGACGAAAGUCUGACCGAGCAACGCCGCGUGAGUGAAGAAGGGUGUCGGAUCGUAAAACUCGGUUGGUAGAGAAGAACGUUGGUGAGAGUGGAAAGCUCAUCAAGUGACGGUAACUACCCAGAAAGGGACGGCUAACUACGUG